AAACACCAGUGAUGUUUGCUUGAGGAUGAAAAUGUAGAGUUAAAACCAGUUCUAUUCUGUCAAAACUACGAAAAAAAAAAAAAGACAACAAAACACAAAACAAACAAACACACACAAAAAAAAAAAGAAACCAAAGAGCUCUUCCUGAUUAAAUUUAAUCCUGUCUGGCCAUAAUUUGUUAGCCUUUCUCCUGUUGAGUAAUAUUUGAUUGAUUUUACUGAGGCACUUUAAAAGUACAGUUCAGUUCACUGAUACUGCUGGUUGAAUUUCCUCAAAGAACACACUCUUAUUUUAGUCACGUUUUACUGAUGGUUCCUCUAUCUCACACCAGCACUAAAGAAGGAGCUGUGUGUAAUCUUAAGUGUUUGCACAUUACUGGACCUAAAGACAUAACUUCCUACCUGCCUGUACCCGACAGAAUAGCAAACCUGAGUAGUUUAGACAAAAUCCAUGAAAAAGAAAGAAUAGAUCAGAGAAAUCACAACAGGGGCUGAAAGAAAAAGGGGACAGAAAAAUCCAUUAAAAAUGAAAAUAAUAAAUUCUCUUAAACUUUGAGGAAAAAAUAGAGUCUUGUUUUGUACAAAGAUAGUGAGAUGUGUUCAUUGAUCUUUUUAAGAGUCAAGAAGAAAUUGGCCAGCAGCUGAAUAAAAGAAAAUGAAGUUCCCUUAAUACAAUCCAUGGAAAGACAACUCAGGUGAAGAGGAUGUGGAAAAUAGACCAUACAUGGAAAUCUGUGAAUCCUAUCCUAUGCUGGCAUCUGUAUGAAGGAUAAUUUUGUAGGAGGCUCUGUGUCUCAGCAGCUCCCUGAAGUGAGCACCAUGACAUGAAUCUGGAAGUGAAGAAGCCCUCAACUCUUCAGAAAAGAGCAGUUAUUCUUAGCUUUCUUUCGCUGAUGUUUUUCUUUCUUUUCCCCCCUUUCUUUUUUUUAAAGAAAACAGAAAGCCUGCCAAAAUUUGGGCUCUUUGAUGUGCUUUGGAAAGAAAAACAAUGCUAUCUAUCCAAGUCCUCUGAAAGGAACAAAAAUAUGUCAUUUUCAGGCAUGAACUACUCGAGAAGAACAAUCAAUACAUUUCACAAUUAAAGAUGGUCUAAAGUUUUUUGAUAUUUUUCUGGAAAUUGUUUAUUAACAAAAUUUCUGAGACACAUGCCUGUUUCAGUUAAACUUUCCUUGGGAAGAUUUCCUGAAUUAUAAGGUAGGUGAAAGGCUGGAGGGGGAAGAAAGAGGAAGACACUGAUAUUUGCUGUAGAAUAUUCAAUAAUCUAAUAAUAUCCUAGGGGGACUAUGUAAGACCCCAUCCAAGCUAUUCUUCUGUCAGUUUGGAUUGAGUAUGUGAACCUGCCUCGUUCAUUUUAUUCAUCCUACUUUGGGAUGAGCAAAACAGGUCACAAAAGCAGGAUCUGUUCUGUACUGUUUGUUUGUUGAUUCAGCUCUCAGUGGACACGUUGCUUUAUUAAACUCUUCAGCUGUAAAUGAGACACUGGCUUCAUUGUCUCAUACUUAGGAAAUUUGCUUUAGAUAGAAGCAUCCCAGGUUGGAAUCUUUGGCCAGUAAAUAUAGGGGAGAUUUUGAAGCUGCAGUCUUGGAAGUCAUAACCUAAUAACUAAACUCCUGUUUGCCCUCUAGUUUUAAGUUUUUUCCUCCUUCACCCCAACAAAUCUUGAAAGAGCUGAUUUAUGCAAUGAGAAUUUUUGACAUUUUUAUUAAGUCCAGGCAUUUAAUAAAGACAUUCUUUCUUCAAUGUGAUUAAACUGAGGUAAAGAAGCACUUGUGUUAUUUCUCUCUUCUAUUGAAGUUUUUAACAGAUUUUCCUUUUUUUUUUCCCUUCCUGUGGCAGGGCUUGUUACAUCAUUUCCAUGAUCUGGUCUCACUUUCCACUGCAGUGGCUAUAUGGGAAAUGCAUCUGCUUUUACAACUGAGCUUUAAAGGGCACAAGUCCUCAUCUGCUGCAAGGAACCUGUAAAGAACAACAGCAAUUAAGGAGGGAGGAAAGAAGUUGAAACAGUAAUUCCAAGUGGUUUUCUUCUCAGGAAUUCUGGAUCUCACCCCUGACUUUCUAGCAGCCAGGCAAAGGCAGGUGAAUCCCUCUCUGCCCUGCUUUAUCCUUCUGUAAAAUAAGUGUGGUCAGUCCUACCUGCUCCACCACUUUGUCACGUGGUGCACCCAAGAAAUAUCUGUAAAUUGCUGUAAGAUUUUGAGUGAUUUUGAGACCAAGGGAAGGCUGGAAGUGCCAAGUGUUGUUGUUGUUAUUGUAUUAACAAUGUUGGCUGUUUUCACUGUUCAUAUGGUAGCCUGGCUGGAAUUGGGCAGGAAGCCCAAUAAUGCCAACAACCAACAAGAAACUAAAAUAAAAUGUUUUACUUAAUGAGAGCCUCUGUUUAAUCAGAAGCCUGUGUAAUUAUGUCACAGAGGGCUAAGGAUCUAAUGUUUUCCUAAUACAUUUGCUUUUAAAGGGACGAUUAACCCAGCAUAUUUCAAGAUGAUAAGCUGCUUCUUUGUUCAGUUCCAGUUAUUUUUUUUCUGCAUUCCCUGGUGAGUCCAGAGAGAACCUGAGAGUCAGAGGAUUUUUCUUAAUUGCAACAUAACUAUCUUGUAUGUCUGAUGCUGGAGUAUUUUCUAAAGAUACAGGUUAUUAGUCCUGGGUUGGAUGGGUUUGCACAAGAAUUCAGAUGCUGAAUUUAUUCUGAUUUGUCUCCUCUGAGGCAUGGCAUACAUUACAGAAAGUCCUCAGUAUUCCUGACGAAAACAGUCAAUAUUCUUAGCAAGCAAGUUGAUCAGAAAGAAGGAAUAAAAUUGUACCUUACCUUGAAACAAGUACAUCUUGGUUUAGGUAUUAAAGAUUGUUUUUGGCUUGCUUCUAAAUGUUAUGUUUCUGCAAGAUCCGUGCACGCCUGUCCAGUCAUUUAUUUUCAUAUGCUUUGAAGAGAAUCAUAAGCAAAAAAAAGCUCUUCAUCUCCUGAAGACCACUGUCGUAGGAGAUGUUAAACAUCAGCCCAUAUUGAUAUUCCAAGAAACAUAUUUAUGCUGCAUGAGAUGGAGGACAGGUCUCUGUUGUGUACAUGAGGUUCUCUGAUUUGAAUAAAACACAUUGCGUCCACA